CAUGCCUGAACAUGCCAUACAUACGCACAGACACAUUUGUAACUACUGAGGGCCGACUGUGUGACACAAAUAUUGCAAAACGUGAUGCAAUUUGAUUAAACGUCCACUAGAUGGGGGUGUUUCAUUACACAUGAAAACAUGACGAGUCAGCAGCCAUUUAGAUGAUUAUGAGUACGCUUCUGUUCACACUUCUACCUAGAGAGCAGCCUUUUUCCUCCACUAAAUAGGAAAUGAGGUUCGACCUUAUGCGCUGGGCUUAUAAAGAUAUAUACCACUUGGCAUUGUGUCUCUUCCCCACAUAUUGGUAUCAUAAUUAAGGGCAAUGUCCAAUGGGCACUGGUUGCUGUGCCUGUGUUAUCAACUGCUCCAUGGGAUGCAGGAUAAUUAAGAAUAAGCUGUAAAAAGCAGAUGCCGAUAACAAGCUCCCACUGAGAAAUGCAAUAAACUGAGGAUAGCACACAUCUGCAGCUAUCUGUUCUGUUGAGGCAAGGCCGCAAUGCUAGUUUUUAUGAACUUCACACACACAAAAAGGUUCUUGUAUGGUUCUUGAGAAGGCAGUGUGGUUCUACAAAGAACCAUCACCUUCUUAAGAACCAUUUUAUCUAUUGGAUGAGUCUGAAGUUUUGGUUAUUUGUGAUAUUAAAUGGGGGAUGGGGAAAAAACACCUUUGUGCUAUGUAUAUAUAAUCAUAUAUAUAUAUACAUAUAUAUAUAUAUAUAUAUAUAUAUAUAUAUAUGAUUACCUCUUUUGCCCAUUUAAAAAGCUAAUAAUAAUAUAUUAGAAACAGGUCUUUGCUCUGACUACUUGGGUUUCUCUUCCAUAAUAAAAGCUGUUUUCCAGAAAAGUCUGAGGGGAAAGUCCUAAAUGACAACAUGAACCACCAAUCACGACCGUGAGAAAUGUAUCCGCCCCGCCUACUUCUACGUGAGACUUGUCCAUCUCGACUGACCAACGUCUUUUCAAACCAGAAACCCCGAACUAACAGCGGUCUGUUUAAGCACCUCCUCUUCUUCAAACUCCACGGAUCCCUCCCACUUCGAUGCUCCUCCCAUCCCCCUGCCCCUGUGCACCUCAUAAAUCACCAUCUGCAGUACAUGUGUUUUGUGAGAGACGUACCCGCUCGCAGCAGACGAGGAGGAGAAGGAGAGCCGUUGAGGAUGAGAUUGGAGACACUUGGCGAGGUAAUGAAGAAGCCAAUUUCUUCUCGCCGUACCUUGCUCCUGGCUGUGUAGCUCGCUCGCCCGCUCGCUCACUCACUCACUCCCCGAGCUGCUACACAGACUCCGUCAUCAAAACACACAGUGAGGCGUGCACGCACGCACACCACGCACUCACACUCAGUCUCACACUGGAGGAAACAUUCAUGAUGCAGCAGCAAGAGAGAAUGUCGUCUGAUUCCCUGUCAGAUGUGCGGUGUCCAUCGAGACAGUGGAUGUCCCGGGGCCACUCCUGCGAAGAGCAGACCGCGAGGAACCCGGAGUUGCGGGUGGCGGGCGACUGUCAGAUGCUGCUGCUGAGUGAGGAGGAGGUGGUGAGAUCGGGCAGCGCUGCCUCCCGUCCGUCGUGUGCCUCCGUGUCGCUAUUGUGCUUCCCGUCUGUUUGUGUUCUUCGUCGCAUUUGUCCCCGUCAACUUCCUUCUUCUUUUCUUUUUCCCGCUGCAGCUUCUCCGCCUCAUUCCGUCCCACCUUUUCCUCCAACAUAGCAUAACAUUCUCCCAAGUUCAUUUUUGUGAUUCAGGGCUGUUUCUCUUCACAUUUCUACAUUGUUUAUUGUUACUGAUGUUGACAGUAAACAUGUUUUUCUUUAUGAUGUUGUUGGACAAUUUCAGUAACUUUUGUCCCUAUUCGUUUUGUAUACACAUUUACCAUUUUUAAAUUGGUCUUAUACAGGAAUAAACACAGGUACUGGACUUUCCAAGCCUACGUAGCAACACCGCUGCUGAAACUGGGGAGAAAAGCGCGGCUUCAGUUUGUCUUUGUCUGCUGAAGUAGAGCAAUAAUUGCGGGGAUGGAUUCAUUCCAAUUGACCCAUUGGCGGCCUUCCCACUACAGCGCUUUUUGUUUCAGGGAACGGCAGCUUGAUCGCGGUGAUGUCGGCAAACUGCAGGUUUUAUAAAGGCUUCAUGAUGCGUUUUGGAGAGCAGGGUUGUUUUUAGGACGAUUGGUCAGAGCAUCAUACGGUGGAGGCCAAACACGCGCAGGCACUGUUGGGGGACAUGUUUGUCACGACAGUAUUUCAACAGCUCCUCAUCAGAAUAAUUUGAUUUUUUUGUGUGAGACCUCAAGCUUAGUUCAAUUGAUUCAGAGGAAGCAGGAAUUCCUUCUGCUAGUGUCCUCAUAUGGAUGCGAUGUUUUCCAGUAUACAAUAGUUUAUAAUAUAUAAUGCAAAUGAUCUAAGAAAACACUCUCACCAUUAAGAUUUAACUGAAGAGUCAGCAGCAUCUGACAUAUGACCGUUAACGGGAAUAUGUUGCAUGUUUAAAUCUUCCUAGAUUCCUUUUUUUACAGCUGCCCCUCUGGACAGAGCAGCUUAUUAUAAAACUUCUUUUAAUCUUUGCUGUGAUGGAGUUUUUGCGGAAAGGGAUUUUCGUUUUUUCAUUAUUUCUUGGUUUCCAUCUUUGCUUUAUUACAUUUCUUUUCCCCCUGUUUUUCCAUCUUGAUUUAUUGUUGGAUUGUUUUACUUCUAUUUCCUCCUGCUUACAUUCACGGUUCGCUUUCGCUCCCGACACAUUAUGAAAACCACUGAAGCGCAGUGUCACUGAACAGCUGAUGCUUGUAUUGUCAUCUGUCAGAGAAUGUUUGCUCAAUAAAUGAGUUUGGCCUUGUUUGCCGAAGGCGACUCGGCCCUCAGCUAUUUGUACAGCCAAGGUGGCGUCUCCCAAAGUGUGAGACUGGAAUAAUUCCAAAGGCGUUUCUAUAGUUUGGACCUUUCCUCAGACCCAUGAAGGAUGCCGCGUGUGGAAUACGUGAUCGAGUCCGGUCUCAUUACUCCCGCACUACGUUUCUACCGCUGCCAGAAGUGGGGCUCUGUGUGUUUCAACCCUCAUCCCAGACCGGAGUUGAAUGUCGGGACUCAAAUGACAGCUCGUCCCUGCUUUGUCAUUAUCGCUCAGCCCAGCAGACCUUACAGUGAGAGCUGUCCUUCAGCCCGGGUCCCAUGAGGCAAACAGAGAGGUGACGAGCAGCGAGGAUCCGAGGGAGCGAGCGAGUGACAGAGGAAUAGAGAGAGCAGGAGCUAGGAGGUGUGAGGGUGUUCGAUAAGCCAUUAUUGCUCCCUUUGGAGGACAGAAGGCCCUUCUUCCUUUCUCGCUUUGUCUGUUUUAAUCUUCUGGGGGCAAACAUGUGGCGAGCGAGCUCCAGGAAGAUACCAGCUGACUGAUGCCGCUAAUGCCCGCUUUGUUUUUGGUUUUCUCAUAGAUGUCUCCUCAUCUAGCAGCCUCCUCUAGCCUUGUUUCUUUCUUUCAUUCCCUUUCUGCACCCCUUAUCUCCUCCGUAUCCGUAUCCUUUUAUACUCCGCCUUUUGUCCGCCUUGAAUUCCGAGCCCUGUUGCCUCGGAUCCUCUCCCUCCGACCCCCCCCCCC